CAAACAGAACCAUAUUUUCUGGUUUUACUGCCAGUGUCCUUAUUCCUGUCACCCACUUUGGGGGAUAAGACAAACAUGGGAAAGUAAGAGAAAAAACCUGCUAAGCUGCCAAUCAAUAGGCUGUCAGAGAAGGGAGAGAUCAGAGUUUGCUGGAGUCCGAGGGGAUGCAAGAGUGAACUCUGUCCUCAAGGAUGGAGCCAAGAAGGAUCGGGAAACAUGGUCAUGGCAGUCUCAAGGUAGUUGGACUUCUUCCAUGA